AACGAUGAAGCCCAGCUUGCUGGGUGGAUUAGUGGCGAACGGGUGAGUAACACGUGAGUAACCUGCCCUUAACUCUGGGAUAAGCCUGGGAAACUGGGUCUAAUACCGGAUAGGAGCGUCUACCGCAUGGUGGGUGUUGGAAAGAUUUAUCGGUUUUGGAUGGACUCGCGGCCUAUCAGCUUGUUGGUGAGGUAAUGGCUCACCAAGGCGACGACGGGUAGCCGGCCUGAGAGGGUGACCGGCCACACUGGGACUGAGACACGGCCCAGACUCCUACGGGAGGCAGCAGUGGGGAAUAUUGCACAAUGGGCGCAAGCCUGAUGCAGCGACGCCGCGUGAGGGAUGACGGCCUUCGGGUUGUAAACCUCUUUCAGUAGGGAAGAAGCGAAAGUGACGGUACCUGCAGAAGAAGCACCGGCUAACUACGUGCCAGCAGCCGCGGUAAUACGUAGGGUGCGAGCGUUAUCCGGAAUUAUUGGGCGUAAAGAGCUCGUAGGCGGUUUGUCGCGUCUGUCGUGAAAGUCCGGGGCUUAACCCCGGAUCUGCGGUGGGUACGGGCAGACUAGAGUGCAGUAGGGGAGACUGGAAUUCCUGGUGUAGCGGUGGAAUGCGCAGAUAUCAGGAGGAACACCGAUGGCGAAGGCAGGUCUCUGGGCUGUAACUGACGCUGAGGAGCGAAAGCAUGGGGAGCGAACAGGAUUAGAUACCCUGGUAGUCCAUGCCGUAAACGUUGGGCACUAGGUGUGGGGACCAUUCCACGGUUUCCGCGCCGCAGCUAACGCAUUAAGUGCCCCGCCUGGGGAGUACGGCCGCAAGGCUAAAACUCAAAGGAAUUGACGGGGGCCCGCACAAGCGGCGGAGCAUGCGGAUUAAUUCGAUGCAACGCGAAGAACCUUACCAAGGCUUGACAUGUUCUCGAUCGCCGUAGAGAUACGGUUUCCCCUUUGGGGCGGGUUCACAGGUGGUGCAUGGUUGUCGUCAGCUCGUGUCG
rnacentral:rRNA from 1 species